rnacentral:lncRNA from 1 species
UCCUUUUCAACGCCCACCAGUAUCUUGUUUUUAUUGAUAAACUUUAAAAGAAGGUACGGAGUAAUAAUAUAUGUAUGCCGGAGAACGCCUGAACACUGAGAUAGUGAGAGACUUCUAGUUGAAUGUUAUCCACUUCUGCAUGCGUCCACCAAAAAUAAAAAAGACAGGCAUGGGUUCUUGGUAAGAAGGACGUCAGUUCAGAAUCUUUUGGGAUUGUAAAUUCUUUCUUUUUAAUUUGGACAUUGGACAGGCAAAUCCAACGGUGUCCCCACGCUUUCUGGAUCACAAAGUGACUCUAGCUGUCAUGAAAAGGGUUCGAUCUUUGUUGUUGUGUUAAUAUUUUUCUGAUAGUUGACCCUUUUGCAGACUGCUAAAUCCAUCAGAGGACAACUAUUAACUUCCAGCUUGGAAGCUGUGCUGUUGCCGCAAAUUGCGUUCUCCUACAAGGCUGUUAUGAGGUUGAUAGCCUGAUUAUAUUUUAAAUGGUCUUUGAGUACCUUGUUGAUUAGAUAACAAUUCGCACUAUCCUGUUAUAUAUAUA